rnacentral:rRNA from 1 species
CAGUCGCCGCGGUAAUACGGAGGGUGCAAGCGUUAAUCGGAAUUACUGGGCGUAAAGCGUGCGUAGGCGGUUCGUUAAGUCUGUUGUGAAAGCCCCGGGCUCAACCUGGGAAUGGCAAUGGAUACUGGCGAGCUAGAGUGUGUCAGAGGAUGGUGGAAUUCCCGGCGUAGCGGUGAAAUGCGUAGAGAUCGGGAGGAACAUCAGUGGCGAAGGCGGCCAUCUGGGACAACACUGACGCUGGGGCACGAAAGCGUGGGGAGCAAACAGGAUUAGAUACCCCGGUAGUCCCUGUCUCUUAUAC